rnacentral:rRNA from 1 species
CCACGGGUGAGUAACACGUAUCCAACCUGCCGUCUACUCUUGACAGCCUUCUGAAAGGAAGAUUAAUACAAGAUGGCAUCAUGAGUCCGCAUGUUCACAUGAUUAAAGGUAUUCCGGUAGACGAUGGGGAUGCGUUCCAUUAGAUAGUAGGCGGGGUAACGGCCCACCUAGUCUUCGAUGGAUAGGGGUUCUGAGAGGAAGGUCCCCCACAUUGGAACUGAGACACGGUCCAA